rnacentral:rRNA from 1 species
UACGUAGGGUGCAAGCGUUAUCCGGAAUUAUUGGGCGUAAAGAGCUCGUAGGCGGUUUGUCGCGUCUGCUGUGAAAACUGGAGGCUCAACCUCCAGCCUGCAGUGGGUACGGGCAGACUAGAGUGCGGUAGGGGAGAUUGGAAUUCCUGGUGUAGCGGUGGAAUGCGCAGAUAUCAGGAGGAACACCGGUGGCGAAGGCGGUGAUCUGGGCCGACACUGACGCUGUAGAGCGAAAGCGUGGGGAGCGAACAGG